GACGAACGCUGGCGGCGUGCCUAAUACAUGCAAGUCGAGCGGAACUGGGGGAGCUUGCUCCUUCCAGUUUAGCGGCGGACGGGUGAGUAACACGUGGGCAACCUGCCCUGCAGAUCGGGAUAACUCCGGGAAACCGGUGCUAAUACCGAAUAGUUUGGCGCCUCUCCUGAGGCGCUACGGAAAGACGGUUUCGGCUGUCACUGCAGGAUGGGCCCGCGGCGCAUUAGCUAGUUGGUGGGGUAACGGCCCACCAAGGCGACGAUGCGUAGCCGACCUGGGAGGGUGACCGGCCACACUGGGACUGGGACACGGCCCAGACUCCUACGGGAGGCAGCAGUAGGGAAUCUUCCGCAAUGGACGCAAGUCUGACGGAGCAACGCCGCGUGAGUGACGAAGGUUUUCGGAUCGUAAAACUCUGUUGUGAGGGAAGAACACGUACCAACUAACUAUUGGUACCUUGACGGUACCUCACCAGAAAGCCACGACUAACUACGUGCCAGCCGCCGCAGUAA
rnacentral:rRNA from 1 species